UACGAAGGGUGCGAGCGUUGUUCGGAAUUAUUGGGCGUAAAGCGCGCGCAGGCGGUCCUUUAAGUCUGAUGUGAAAGCCCACGGCUCAACCGUGGAGGGUCAUUGGAAACUGGGGGACUUGAGUACAGAAGAGAAGAGUGGAAUUCCACGUGUAGCGGUGAAAUGCGUAGAGAUGUGGAGGAACACCAGUGGCGAAGGCGACUCUUUGGUCUGUAACUGACGCUGAGGCGCGAAAGCGUGGGGAGCAAACAGG
rnacentral:rRNA from 1 species